UGGGGAAUAUUGGACAAUGGGCGAAAGCCUGAUCCAGCCAUGCCGCGUGUGUGAAGAAGGUCUUCGGAUUGUAAAGCACUUUAAGUUGGGAGGAAGGGCAUUUACCUAAUACGUAAGUGUUUUGACGUUACCGACAGAAUAAGCACCGGCUAACUCUGUGCCAGCAGCCGCGGUAAUACAGAGGGUGCAAGCGUUAAUCGGAAUUACUGGGCGUAAAGCGCGCGUAGGUGGUUUGUUAAGUUGGAUGUGAAAUCCCCGGGCUCAACCUGGGAACUGCAUUCAAAACUGACAAGCUAGAGUAUGGUAGAGGGUGGUGGAAUUUCCUGUGUAGCGGUGAAAUGCGUAGAUAUAGGAAGGAACACCAGUGGCGAAGGCGACCACCUGGACUGAUACUGACACUGAGGUGCGAAAGCGUGGGGAGCAAACA
rnacentral:rRNA from 1 species